AUGAUGGCCACGGAGCUCUUCGCGCCGCACCGUCUCGACGCGCUCCACCACCUCCGGAUCGAGAAGGUGGGCGAGCUCAUGGACCACGUCGCGCUGCUGGCGCGCGACGGCAAGCCGGUGAACGUGGGGCGCGUGGCCUUCACGACCAGCCUGAACCUGCUCUCCCGCACCAUCUUCUCCCACGACCUCACGAGCCUCGACGACGACAGCCGCUCCGGGGAGUUCCAGGAGGUGGUGACGGCCAUCAUGGAGGCCGUGGGGACCCCCAACCUGUCGGACUUCUUCCCGGUGCUCGCGCCGGCCGACCUCCAGGGCACGCGCCGGCGGCUGGCGAAGCUGUUCGCGCGGCUGCACGUGGUGUUCGACGCCGAGGUGGACCAGAGGCUGCGUGCCCGCGACGCCGGCCAGCCCAGGAAGAACGACUUCCUGGACGUGCUGCUCGACGUGGCGGCGCGUGAGGAUGGCAAGGACCUGCUCGACCGCCAGACGCUACGCUCACUUUUCACGGAUUUGUUUGCCGCCGGCAGUGACACAAGCUCUAGCACAGUGGAAUGGGCAAUGACCGAGCUUCUCCAAAAUCCAUCAUCAUUAGCUAAGGCUUGCAAUGAGCUUGAACAAGUUAUCGGCCCAAGAAGAAACAUUGAAGAAGCUGACAUUGUUCGGUUGCCCUAUAUUCAAGCUAUCAUAAAAGAGACUUUUCGACUCCAUCCUCCUGCUCCACUCUUGUUGCCACGCCAACCUGAGGCAACACUGAAAAUAGCAGGCUACACAAUACCGAAAGGUUCACGCGUUUUCAUAAACGUAUGGGCGAUAGGUCGAGAUAAAGAUGUAUGGGAUGAACCUGAGAAAUUUAUGCCGGAAAGGUUCCUGGGUUCCACAAUUGACUUUAGAGGUGCGGAUUUUGAGCUCCUUCCAUUUGGUGCCGGACGUCGGAUCUGCCCUGGGAUGACAUUGGCAACUAGGAUGGUGCAUUUGAUCCUCGCUUCGUUGUUACAUCAGUUUAAGUGGGGUCUCCCUGCUGAGCUGGAAAGGGAUGGGAUUGACAUGGAAGAUAAGUUUGGCCUCACACUUACUAAGGUCGUUCCCCUUUGUAUUGUAGCAACACCAGUUUGA
rnacentral:rRNA from 1 species